rnacentral:rRNA from 1 species
CUUUUGCUGGCGACCGGCGCACGGUGAGUAACACGUAUCCAACCUGCCCUUUACUCGGGGAUAGCCUUUCGAAAGAAAGAUUAAUACCCGAUAGCAUAAUGAUUCCGCAUGGUUUCAUUAUUAAAGGAUUCCGGUAAAGGAUGGGGAUGCGUUCCAUUAGGUUGUCGGUGAGGUAACGGCUCACCAAGCCUUCGAUGGAUAGGGGUUCUGAGAGGAAGGUCCCCCACAUUGGAACUGAGACACGGUCCGA